CGGGGCAGAUGUCCCUUUGCCCCCCUCACCCUCGUCGAGAGAUAGCUUGGGAGGGGAACAAUUCCCCAUGUGUCUCUUUGUGCACCAGGCAGGGGUUGGGAUUUCAGGGAUAGGCUCUACUUGGCAGAGGGCUGAGGAAGGGGUUACUGCGCUGCCCUGGGGAGAAGAGAAGAGGGCCUGCAAUGGCUGUAAUGAUUCACUCUGCAGCUGUGGCUAGAGAACGGGGAAAAUAUAAUAUCAGAAACACUGAACAGGGUUAAUCUAGGAUGUUUUCCCUUAGGGGAGGGACGAAUCCUGUUCCACCCCAGGCUACAAGAACCCGCUCCCUGCUCAGCCCUGACCCCUGCCUCGCUAAAAACAGAAAACUCUUUAAUCAGUAGAAAAAAGUCAGUCCCUUCUCUUUUUUUCAGCCCCUGAAGCAAAGUCCUGGGGAGUGUGGAAGAAACGGACUCCACUCUCCGGUUGGAAGCAACAAAAUCAGAGACAGGUUUAUUCAGGACAUGCAAUUGCAGGGGAAGAGCACGGCUGACAGAGAGCAUCUCUGCCUCAGUUUCUCCAAAAUACAAGCAAAAUCACACAAGCAUUUAUACCCCUUUGUGACAUGCAUUAAUUAAAACCUUCUGCAUUUUAUUUAGGCUAUUUCCUACCUAUUGCAGUAUUUUCUCACGUUCUCUUCUCAAACGUUCUCUCAAGGCUGGGUCACACUGACUAUUCUGCUGUUUUCCUCUCGCUUCUGACGUGAGCCCGGCUUCUACAGGUCUCGCCAUAUUAGGCUCAGACUUGACAGAACAGUUGUUCUGUCUCUGACUCUUAAAUGGCUGCACUUAAACCCUCUCUUCCUUUCCCUGCUUCCACAGGAGUUUCCCCCGUAAUUGCUGAUUCUGUUCCUGCAGCAACGAUCGAUUCCCCCGACCCACCAGGACGACACAGGACGGUGCAUCAGCACAGACUGCAUAAGUUACAGUUUUGGCCUUCACAACAUCCCCUGGCAAGGAGUUCCACAGGUUGACUGUGCGUUGUGUGACAAGGAUGACAGAAGAUUCAAAAACUCACUGGGCUGAUUUGUUUUCAAAAUGGGGCAGUAAACUGCCCGGUCUGUCUGAGGAGGAAACUGAAGAAUUCCAGACCGCUGUCAAAGUUGGGAACUUGUCAAAAGCCAUUUCUGUGGUGAAAAAGUCUGAUGAGUUGCUAAGAAAUACCAAACUCAAGAUCGCCAUCACAGGGGACACGGGCUCUGGGAAGUCGUCUUUCAUCAAUGCCAUAAGAAGCUUGAAUGAUAAUGACAGUGGUGCAGCUAAGACUGGGGUGGUAGAAACAACACAGAAGCAAACUUCUUACCCCCAUCCCAUAUACCCAAAUGUGAUUGUGUGGGAUCUACCUGGGAUUGGAUCACCAAAGUAUCCAGCAGAAACAUAUGUAAAAGACAUGAACCUUGAUCAAUAUGACUUCUUCAUCAUCAUCGCAGCCCUGCGCUUCACAGAGGCUGAUACCAAACUUGCCAAAGAAAUCAAGAGGAUGGGGAAGAAGUUUUACUUUGUCCGCUCCAAGGUGGAUGCGGACUUGGCUAAUGAACAAAGAAAAAGAGAUUUCAAAGAGGAGAAAACUCUAGCGGCAAUCAGAAGUGACUGCAUGGAGCAGCUACAAAAAGCAGGGAUCAUCUCCCCACAGGUUUUCCUGGUGUCAAGAUGGGACUUUCACAAGUACGAUUCUCCCCAACUGCAGGAGACUUUCGCAAAUGACCUCGACACUCACAAGAGACACGUUCUCAUCUGUGCCCUGCCCAGCACCUCUGAAAAAAUCUUGAAAGAGAAACAGAAGGCCCUGCAGGAACAUAUCUGGAAACAAGCCCUGAAGUCAUGCGCUCUCGCUGCUGUUCCUCUCCCAUAUCUCUCAGUUAAGUGCGAUGUCGACAUCCUGGUGGAGAACAUGAGAGAGUAUUGCAAGUCCUUUGGCCUGGAUGAUGAUUCCCUCAAACCAUUUGCUAAGCAGGUUGGGAAGUCUGUCGAUGAACUGAAAUCUGUGAUGCAGUGUGCUUUGGCCAAAGAUAUAACAAGAGAAGAGGCUUUGAAGCGGCUCAGAGAGGCUACAGGGGAACCUAUGAUGACAGUUAAAUAUUUUAUCAGUGUGGUACCACUGAUUGGCACUGGGAUAGCAGCAGAGAGAUCUUACAAUGUCACCUAUGAAAUGCUACAUACGUUUUUGGAUGAAGUUGCAGAAGAUGCUCAACGAGUCCUGAAAAAGGCUUUGGAGGGAGCAGAGGAUAACUAAUAACAAUGUCCCAAAGUAGAGCUUCUCCCCAGCUUUGCAGGAUAAACUGCCACACCCCAAGCCUCCUUUCUGUAAUUUUAUUGUCCCAAACUUAAACAAACCAGGAGCCAAAACCAUUUCUUGGCUCACCCUUGCAUUGCUGACUUUCACUGCCUCCGCUUCCAGGGGCCUCUGGCAGUCCUGCUGCUCCUGUUUCCACUCUCUCUCUCUCUCAACCAGUCCCCCCUCAGUGGGUCCCUGGUCUGUCCACACUGCACAGUAAGCCUGAGCUCUGACUCAGGUUUGAGCCUAAACCCUGCUUCCUUCCUCACCCAAAUCAGUCUGACUCGGGUCAGUGAGCACUCGGGAAUAGGACCUAGGACCCUGCUGGGGGGUGGGUCAGAGCCCUAGUCCUGCUGAGUCUCAGGUCCAAGCCCUGUCAUUCUGCAGUGUGGACACAGCUCAAGCUGCAGACCCAAUCAGAAGGUUUGCGUAGUGCAGUGUGGACACACUAGCACAGCCCUGAGACCCGGGUCCAGCACUUGUAAACCCAGGUUUCCAGUGCAGUGUGGACACUCAAGUGCAGGCUUGGAAACACCGAGUCCACAAGCUCGGUUCCCAUAGACCCAGGGAUACAAUGCAGUGUAGAAGUACCAUCUUGGACCUGUAUUACCCCAGUGCAGCCCAUCCCUUAAUUGUCCCAGCUGGGAGCUCCUGUUCUAGCACAAAGAGGGAGAAGUGAGGUUGUACCCACUUCAGUCACAGGGGCCAGACAUCCCGUGACAGAGAACAAAAGAGCAACAGAUCUGACACCAACACCAUGGCAAGUGGGGACUGGAUCUGAGUAGAGAGGAGGUGGCAUUUCCUUCCUUUUCAUAUGUAAUGUGACAGAUGAGAGAAAGACUGACUAAGGUGUGGGGAGGGGAGGGAACAGCUAGGUUCUUUUCUGUUAAAUGAAGAUGAUUUUUAAUAAGGCUGGAAACAGACAAAACUGAGGUUGAAUUCCCAGCUUCUACAAUUACUUCUGAUCAUCCCACAGGAAAAGGGACACUGUCCAAUGAAAUACCAUAUUAAACACACACUCCUCACCUGUGUCACUAAUAACACCAGGCAGAGGUGUGAAUUCUCAGCACCAUUCAGGCCUCGCCUACAUUAGACAGUUAGAUCAACCUAACCACAUUGCACAGGGCUGUGAAAAAUGUCACACAAAGACCCUGAAUACUGUAGUUAGGUCAGUAACCCCUGGUGUAGAUGCGGCUAAAUCGAUAGAAGAAUUCUUCUGUCCACCUAGCUCCUCUCUCCUGGAAAGGAGGAUUAAUGACAUCAGUGGAAAACCCCCUUUUGUUGAUGUAGGAAGCCUCUAUACAAUGUUACUACAGCUGCAGUACUGGACCUACCGAUCUGUCUGCACUAUGGAGACUGUAUAUCAGCGCCGUAGCUAUGUCAGCAUGGAAACAAUAUCAGAAUUUCAGCGCAGCUGUGGAAAUUCUGAACUUGCACUUUAACCACUUGGGGAACAUGUGGCAGGGAAGCAAAACACACAGGCUUUGGCAAAGGAAAUUCUUAACCACAGACACCAACCAGCAAUCUGGGCUCCUAUUGCGAAACUCCAUCCCCCCCCCCAACUCUUUCAUAGGGGUGGGGCAACCGUUAAGAGUCAUUACAAAGCCAGUAGACCUUGCCUGUCAUCUCGACGGCUCUCUGUUCUAGUGCUCGACGGGGUGUUAAGCCCCCUCCCAGCACUGGAGAUGUCUCGGUAUUGCCUCACAACAGGUUGUGCAUAAACAAGAUUAAACUGGAUUUCAGCCCAGGUGAACAGAAUCCAAUGGUGAACAGAAUUCAACAUGGAAGCCUGCAAACAAAAUGGUUGAUGUAUCGCGGACACAGACAUACAAAAUGGAUGAUGUACAGUGGACACGGACACACAAAAUGGAAGGUGAAUAGCAGACACAAAUACACAAAAUGGCUGAUAAUCUUCCACAUUCAUCACAUCCACAUUCUGAGCAGCCCGACGAUAAUAAUCUGGCAGCUGUAGCCUGCUCAGCAACCCAGAUGUCCACUCUUGCUGCUUGAACUCAGGGCCCGGAGCUCAAGUCAGAGUCCGUCUAUGCUUGGAGCUAGGGGUGCGAUGCCCAGCUCGCAGAGACACCCUCACGAUCGCUCUCCUGGAGCUAGCACGUGGAAUAUGGUGGUGUAAUCAUGGCAGCAUGGAGAAUGGCGGCAUGGGCUAGAUGUACUGAGUGAAAACCCACCUGGACCCUCAGCUCCAAGUGUAGAUGUAGCCUGAAAUGGCCUCUCUGAGAAACCCCUGGGAGCAAAUCCCCAGCUGGCGUGAAUGGAUGUAGCUCUGUUGAUUCAAUCCCAUUUACACAGCUCUAGAUCUGCUCCUCCAUGCACAGCCAUUUACCCAGUCUCAUCCCAGAGGUUGGCUAAAUUUUCUGUUCUCUGGCUGCAGUGAUGAAACUAAAGGCUGUUAUUAACCUGUAACAAAGUUGUACCCCAAGCAGGGUUUGGAAGCGUCCAGCUGCUAAACCUGUAUCAGAGGUUUAAUGGUUACUGAGAAUCUCACCUCUGCAAUUGACAACCCUGAGCUGCGGGUUGAGCUACUGCUGAUGCGUUUAAUCCCUGAUUUGCUUGAUUGAUGCUGAGUUUAGAUUUGCCUGGGAACCACCGACCCCACUCAGACUGACCUGAGGUGCUGGGUUUGUAAUCACAGGGUGUUUGUCUCUCAUGGCUAUUGGUUCAUGUGAUGCUAUGUAUCAAACUGUUGCUAUUCAUUUGCUCAAUGUUUCAUACCUGGUAACCCGUGUGGAUUCAAUCUCACUGCUCCAUGUACUCGUUGCUUUUCGUUUGAUGGUCAUUCCAAACCUUUUAGAAGUGCAUUUAUCCUUCAAUAAAUUGCUGUAAAAUUUGAUCUGACACUUUGUGCAUCUGAGCUUUAUUGCUCUUAGGAAAAUGUGGAUUAAGGGGCAUAAACUGGAUCCGUGCUUGGACUCCACUCCUGUAGGUUGGGUAUUUAGAUUGCAUAUUUAUAUCUUGGGAAGGAGGUGUGACCUGGUGUGCCUAGGACAGCCCUCUCUGAAAAUUCAAAGCUCAGGGCAGGCUGCAAAAAGGAGAGCAGAUUCUCUCAAAAACUGGUGGUUAACACUGAAGUUAGACUCGCCAACCACUGUACUCCUGAUCCCCCAUACUGGUUAUCAAGUAGCUAAAAAAGAAAUCACCCCCCUCCCCCUUACUGCAUUCCAGUUCUCUGGCUCCCAAUCAGCAAACAGGUUCAGUACAGUGAGAAGUUAUUUAAAAACUCUGCUCACUAUACCAAAUGUUCUUCUGAAACCAAAGGGUCAGCCACUUUACCAGUCAAUAUUAGUUUGGAUCCUACCCAAAAUACCAGGCUGCCAGACAAUCUGUUAUUAUCUAAAACUAAAUGUUUAUUAUAAAAGAAAAGAAGGAAAAGAGAAUUGGUUAAAUUGCCAAAUCAAUCAGAUACAUACAUAAGAAGUCGAAGUCUAUAAAUCAGGUUCUUAGUAGGGUUGGUCAGUUUUCUGGCUUGAAAGUCCCCCGGGAACAGAUCCACAGCUUGGAUGCAUCUUUCAGUCCUUUGUUCAGAGCUUCAUUUUGUAGAAAAGUCACUCCAGAGGUAAGAAGCAGGAAUGAAGACAAAAUGGAGAUGAUGUGGCUGCCCUUUAGAUUCCUUUUGCCAUGUGGCUUGUGCUUCCUGUGUCCCAAACAUAAGCUGCAAAGCACAUGACAUUGAAAAGUUCUCUGUCCUCCAGCCUGCCGCUACAUGCCUUGCUGACACAUAAGGUGCAUCCCCUGGCACCUUUCAAAGGGUUAAGUGUACAGCUGAAUACCCUUGAUGGACCAUUGAACGGGCUAGGCAGUGCUGAUGCCAGUCUGUCUGGGGGUGUCACCCAGAAACAAAGCACACAUUUGGAAAUACAGAUGUACCCUAUGUCUCUAUAACUCACAAUACAAAGGAGAUACAGACAUAGAAACAAGAUGAUCAUACUUGGCAAAUUAUAACAUUUUCACAGAUACCUUACAUAGCCUCUCUGCUCAGACUCAUUGCAAUUUAUAAUAUUGGUAUCAAUAAUAUCAUAAAGUGCCCAACAUAUUCCAUACAGCUGCGUCACAGGGGGUUGGAUGUUUAGUUGGAUAUAAUAGUCAGAGUUGUCAGAAAGAAACAUAAUGGAAAAUUUUGGUGGGGACACUAAACUUCUAGCUUUGGGGUUUAAGCUGAUCUCUAACUAUUAGAGACUAAAGCACGAGUAGCAGGGGGCAGAUGAUUCCACAUUUGGUACUGUAGGGUUCUUACCCUUCUUCUGGACCAUCUGGCCCUGUCCACGAUCAGAGACAGGAGACUGCACUCGAUGGACCUUGGGCUGGAUCCAGUCUGGCAAUUCCUACAUUCAGUGAUGAAUUUGGGGAUCAGUGUAUUUUAUUCAUUUAUUUGAUUCAAAGUGACACAAGAAACCGCUUCUCCUUGCACACAAUGCAAAUAUAAACACAACAGUAUUGCGAACUUCCACGAGUUCAUCACGAGUCUCACAAUGUUUGGUGUUUUCCUUGAAGUCCCAGCUCCAGGAGUCAGGUGAUGAUGUGAGAAUCUCAGCUUUCAUUCUUUUUUAAGUAACUGUGGACACAAGCUUGAACACAUGACCCAUAAUGGCUAAGGCACCAGAGAACAAAUGAAAAGAACCCCACAUUGAUUAUUUGUUUAUCUCAUGAUUUUGGGGGCCCUGUCCCAUUCUUUUUGAAGGCAGGGAUCUGGCAAUACCCAGACAAGGAUAAAUCUUAAAAAAACACCUAGGUGGCAAUAAUAUACACAGCAGAGUGCGGGAAAAUCGAUUAGUGAAUGAAACUCCAGCUACGUAAUAGGCUCCUUCUCUCUGCGUGCAUUUCAGUGACUGGAGGCGGCGGGGGAGGUGCUGGAUUGGCAGCUCUUGGUUGCUCUGUGUGACCCCAGAGCGGGGAUAGCAUUAAGUAGAACCAACCCACAACCCUCCCUCUUCCCCCCUGUGCCAACCUGCCUUGGAGGAACCCUUCUAGGAGAGAGAAGAGCAUUCAGUCUUUACAGCCUAGUCAGGCCUUCUGGCCCAGCUGAUCAAACUCUCUUCUCAGAGCUGGGGACAGAACCCAGGAGUCCCAUUUCCCAACCACUCCUCCCCCCCCUCUAGCCACUAGACUUCGCUCCCCUCCAGGAUCUGGCGACAGAACCCAGGAGUCCUGACUCCCAGCCCCCGCCCCACUCUAACCAUGAAGACCACACCGAGGAGGACUCUAACCACUGAGAGACCCCCAAUUAGCAGCACGGCAACCACAGAGACCCUGCCACAGAAGGACUGUAACCAUGGAGACACCCCCCACUACAGCAGGAUGGUACCCACAUUUGCACAGCACCGCCAGCUUUGAUACUGGAAGUGUGUCCCACCUCCGUGAUCAUCUUGUCAGAUGCACUGUCAGGACAACUAGUACUGGCAAUCACAAAUGGAAAUAGAAAUGAUAUAAACAAAAUGUUGUUACUAACACCAGAGUUGGGACAGAUGGAAAUAAACAUAGAGACAGCCUGGAUAGCUGGCGUAGCGCCUCCUCUCCACCCAGUUACCUCCUUUAAUGCCAAUCUGCUUACAGGUUCUGCUGGACAGGCCUGGGGUCUUCUGUGUCCCUCCACCUGCUCCGCAGGGUGUAACUUCUUUAUUUCUUCCCAUAUGAAUUUAUUUGGCGGUGCCUCCACCUUGUAACUCCUUCCUGGCAGGGUCACCAGGGCAGUGUGGGAGGAUAAUUCUAAGCACAGGGUAACCCCCACUUACUUGCCAGAGAGCUGGAGACUCCCAAGAAAUAACCCAAACACCCACAGUAUCUUCAACACAAUAUUUCUAUUAAACAGGUGAUAAAUAGAACAGAACAGGGUAAAAUACGAUUCUCAGGGUCACUGGUUCCCACGCCGAUACUACCCAAGAAUUUCCCCGGUCACGUGACCUGAUAUAGCAAAUGUAAAGUUAGUGUCCCGUUGGCAUGUGUACU